AACGCACCUUGCGCCCUUUGGUAUUCCGAAGGGCAUGCCUGUUUGAGUGUCAUGAAACUCUCAAUCCCUCCGGUUUCUGAUCGGAGGUGUAUUGGAUUUGGGCGUCUUGCCGUUUACCCGGCUCGCCUUAAAAGUGUCAGUGGGGACAAGCAUCUCACGCCGGACGUAAUAGGUUUCGUCUGGUACGGUGUCUGUUGCUGCUAACAACUCCGGCUUCGUGCCGACCACUUUCUGCUCUGACUUCAAAUCAGGUAGGACUACCCGCUGAACUUAA
rnacentral:misc_RNA from 1 species